rnacentral:misc_RNA from 1 species
CAGAGCUCGCAAAACUCCCGUAAACCACUGUGAACGUUACCCAGACGUCGUUGCCUCGGCGGUGCUCCGGCCGUCUUCGGCGCCGGGGCGCUACCAGCCCUCUGCCCGUUACUCGGCUCUCUGUACGUAUGCAUUCUCUAGCAACUAACGAGUCA